AACGAACGCUGGCGGCAGGCUUAACACAUGCAAGUCGAACGCAUCGCAAGAUGAGUGGCAGACGGGUGAGUAACGCGUGGGAACAUACCCUUUUCUACGGAAUAGCUCUGGGAAACUGGAAUUAAUACCGUAUACGCCCUACGGGGGAAAGAUUUAUCGGGGAAGGAUUGGCCCGCGUUGGAUCAGCUAGUUGGUGGGGUAAAGGCCUACCAAGGCGACGAUCCAUAGCUGGUCUGAGAGGAUGAUCAGCCACAUUGGGACUGAGACACGGCCCAAACUCCUAUGGGAGGCAGCAGUGGGGAAUAUUGGACAAUGGGCGCAAGCCUGAUCCAGCCAUGCCGCGUGAGUAAUGAAGGCCUUAGGGUUGUAAAGCUCUUUCACCGAUGAAGAUAAUGACGGUAGUCGGAGAAGAAGCCCCGGCUAACUUCGUGCCAGCAGCCGCCGUAAAAC
rnacentral:rRNA from 1 species